ensembl:lncRNA
GUAAAGUUAGUGAACUAACUUUGAUGUUGGCUUGGCCUUGGGCCAAAAGAGCCACUGUACUUGUGUGUCCAACCUUCUUGAGCUGCCUUGGUGGAAAAAAAAAAUCUUCCAACAGUAUUUUUCUAUGGACCCUUGCUGUUUUCUUUUCCAAUAAAAAGCCUAGGCUAAGACAACAGCUUCAACAGGUUCGGCUAGAUGCAUGCGAAAUAAGUCAUGCCUUUUUUCCCCUGUUUGCUAUUUCCCAUUCCUCUAACUGAAGUAUUGUAGGCAACAACACAGAAGGUAAAAGAAACAAUGUGGUUUAAGUCAAGGUGAAAAUAGAUAUGAAAAUAGAUAACUAAUAUAGUUUCCCUUCUUCACUUUAUGUGUGAUAACUUGAGAAAUAUGUUGUCAAUACUAUUAAAAUGAGAAAAAAACGUAAUGGUACUUAGGGGAUUACAGUUUUUGCAUAAAUA